rnacentral:rRNA from 1 species
GAUGAACGCUGGCGGCGUGCUUAACACAUGCAAGUCGAGCGAAGCACUUACCAUUGACUCUUCGGAAGAUUUGGUAAAUGACUGAGCGGCGGACGGGUGAGUAACGCGUGGGUAACCUGCCUCAUACAGGGGAAUAACAGUUAGAAAUGGCUGCUAAUGCCGCAUAAGCGCACAGUACCGCAUGGUACGGUGUGAAAAACCGAGGUGGUAUGAGAUGGACCCGCGUCUGAUUAGGUAGUUGGUGGGGUAACGGCCUACCAAGCCGACGAUCAGUAGCCGGCCUGAGAGGGUGAACGGCCACAUUGGGACUGAGACACGGCCCAGACUCCUGCGGGAGGCAGCAGUGGGGAAUAUUGCACAAUGGGGGAAACCCUGAUGCAGCGACGCCGCGUGAAGGAAGAAGUAUCUCGGUAUGUAAAC